ensembl:lncRNA
CGGAACCCUCUGUUGGUUGCUAUGGGGAAGGGGAGGUGCAGUAAGAAUACAGAAGAAUGAACUUCUCUCCAGGUGGAGGUAAAAUAUAAACAUAAAAUUUUUAAAUUAACGAUGAGAUACUUUUAAUAAAUUGUGCUAACACUAGUUUAGAUUGGAUAUAUAUGAGCUGUGGUCUGAGUGGAGAUGAGUUAAUCUGCAAGCGAAGGCUCCCUGAUCCUAAAGUGGAGGGACGGCUGGAAUCACAGGGGCCUGCGCUGGACCUCCAAAGGCCUCAACACAGCCCCGGAACAGGAGGAAGGACCCCCAACUGCUCUGGAUUGCUACAAGACAAAUGUGCUGCUAGCCACUGCCUCAGGAGCGGAGAGCUUGUUGCACAGAACCUGCCUCCCUCUUGCUGGGCACUGCCUCUCAGAAGCAAUGCUGCGUGGCGAGGCGAGAACUCGACCAGAGGAGCUGGAUCUUCCAUGAAGGACAGCGUUUCCACUGUCUCUCCUAGGCUGGAAAAAUCUCCUGUGUGUCUCCACACGUAUCCUCUGCCCUCCUGUCCCUGAGUUAUACUCCAUUUUGCUGCCAGAGUGAUCUUUUCAAAACCCAGAUCUGGUUGUUGCAAAAUACACAUCCUCCACCACCACCAUCAUCACAGCUGAGACCCUUCAGAGGCCUUCUAGUGCUCUGAGCAGAAGAAUCAAACUGGAGUGCCCAGGGCAGGGCGUGGUCUGGCCCUGGCAGCCCUCCCUAGCCUCAUUCCAUCACUCCACCUAAUGGGACUGGCCUCUCCCACCACCAUGCGAUCUCAUACUCUCUCCUGCCAAAAGGCCUGUGCACACACUGUUCCCUCUGCCUGGGACACUCUUCUCUCCGAUGCUCCCCACCUUAGUUCUCGCUCAUCCUUCAGUUUUCAGUUCAAAGGCCAUUCCUCAAGGAAGUCUUCUCUAACGGCUCUGACCCGGUCAAAUCACUCUAGUACAAGUUCUCCCAAUUCCUAGGCCACCCACUCUUGUGGCACAGAGCAAUGAUGCAGUUUACACUUAUCCACGUGAGUAUUUGAUUAGACUGUAAGCUCCAGGUGGGCAAGGGCAGUGUAUGCUUUUGCUCACCAUUGUAUCCCAGCCAGCCCAGCUCAGUAAAUAUUUGUUGAAUGAAUGCAUGUUGAUAAAUUACCUUCCUCAAGCUUAGUAAUUCAUGCCUUCAUUCAACAGAUCCUUAUUGAACACCAUGGUUCCCUGUCUACACUGGAACAUGAGAAUCAGAGGACCCUUUUCUUCUGGACAGUGUAGAAAACACCAUGACACAUUCUUAUUAAUUAGCUCACCUUUUUCUUUACUUCAGGCAGGCUACCACUCUUAUGCUGUGAUGUUAUCUCACACAAGAUGCAAUUAAUUGGAUGAAACUGAGUCCCACGCUUAAAAUCUGCCAUGAUAACAUGCUAGCUUUUCACACCACGUUCACAGUCCUUCCAAAUCCCUUAUUUAAAGUGCACGAUGACCCUAUGAAGUUUGCAGGGCGGAUUCUAAAGAUUGUAGACUGCCACUCCAUGAAGAAAUUUACUCAAGGUCCUGUGGUUUGUGAGGCCCUAAUCGCAUCAGCAACAGGUUUAUUUUUAACUUCAUACCCAAAUUUUGGGGGAGCAAACCCAGUCUGAGGCUCAAGACCUCACAGACACUAACUACUACAACUUCUAUCGCUCAUCUCAGUUCUGAAAGCUUCUGGUUCUAUGAUUUUCUUAUUAAUUUGUAAUUACUAUAAGGACUAAGGGGAGGUGGCCUACUUGUGAGUGACACCUCUUUAACAGGUCACUCCAAAGUCUGAGUCUCCAGUGGUGUGUUCCAAAAUUGGGUCCUGUUCACACAUAACUCUGCAGAAUGAAUUAUUUAGUUUUUCUGCCUACUGCUUUUAUCCACUUCUUAUUUUCAAUUUCUUUAACAACUGGGAUGCCUUCCAAAGGACUUAUAUUAGUGAAAAUACUGACCCCUCACUGGGGUGCCUUGUUAAGAUGCAGAUUCUGAUUCAAUAAGCUCUACAGGGGAGGCUGAGAUUCUGCGUUUCCUGUAAGCUCCUGGGAGAUGCCAAUAUUGGUAGCCCCCAGACCACACUUUGAGAGCCAAGAUAUUAGAAGCUUUUUCUUAAACGCUAGAAAGAGGCUGUUACGUGAAGUUAGGAUAUUUCCACCAAAAUAAGUAUCCUCAAACUGAAAAAUGUUUUAAUUUUACUUUUUAUUUUAUAUUCGUCUGCCAUAUUUUAAUUUUAUUUUGUAAUGAAUUAUAUCACUUUUGUAUUAAAAUUUUUAAGUGAAAUAAAAUGUUUUAUCC